rnacentral:lncRNA from 1 species
CUCUGCACUACAUUGGAUACGGAAAACUGUGUGUCUGUUUGUAAGCAAAGGUCUCUGAAAUGGUCUUAUCGCACGAUAACCAGUAGCGAUGAGUCGAUCACGAACAGUUCUUGUUAAAAAGCUCCUGUAUGCCCACCACUCUCUUUUUAGGAUUGUAUUGUAUGCAAUGGGUUUCCUUCUGACCAACCUUCAUUAUGCUUGAUUUUCCCUAGCAAAUGGUAUAGGGGUCUUCUUUAUCUCGGAAGGUCUUGAACAUCGUUUAGUGCCUUAUUUUUAACUCAAAAUGACUUAUAGUGGAAUGGUG